rnacentral:rRNA from 1 species
ACGAACGCUGGCGGCGUGCUUAAGACAUGCAAGUCGAGCGGGGGGGACCCAGAGCAGCUUGCUGUGAGGGUUCCCUAGCGGCGGACGGGUGAGUAACGCGUGGGCAACCUACCCGCGAAUCGGGGACAACAGUGGGAAACCGCUGCUAAUACCGGAUGAGCUUUUCUGACCGCAUGGUUGGGGAAGGAAAGGCAGCCUCUGCAUAGCAAGCUGUCGUUCGCGGAUGGGCCCGCGUCCCAUUAGCUAGUUGGUGGAGGUAACGGCCCACCAAGGCGACGAUGGGUAGCCG